UAGACUUCCCACUGUUCCAAAGGGCAUUCCUAAAAAUAAUCAGUCCCAAUCACUUGAUGUGAAAAUGUGAAAAUCGAAAUCACUACCAGUAAAAACGGAGUUUCUGAUGAAGAACGAUCAUAAAACGAUCAAUGACAAAUUAAGAAUUAUUUCAAGCGAGAAUAACAUAGAGAACAAGCUCACAAAAUUCGAGUUAAUUCUAUACACUUAUAAUCAUAAAUCGGUUCAUAAUACUACAAAAAGAUCCCCAGCUGAUAUCUUCCUGUACGCCGGACUAUCAGAUUAUAACACCCAACUGAAUAAGGUUAGGAAGAUCAAUCAUUUGAAUAACGAUAGAAUCGACUUUGAAGUAGACACACGCUACAAAAAUGCACCCCUAGUUAAAAAAUAACAACCAAUCCGAUCAAAAGAAUAGGGGAAAUUCGGCAGAGUACCCGAAGAGAGUACUGGGAAUCUGGAGCUACAACAUGAUUAAGAUUAUAAUCUUACUAAUGUUCACCGUCCUACAGUCUACCGGACAGAAUAUAGAGAUAGAUCCCAUCAACUCAAGGAAUGGAUAUCUCAUAUUCAAAACAGAUACCAUUAACAUACCCAUUAAUUAUGAAUAUCAUUAUUUAACAAUUAAUAUAACAAGAACAGAUGAAACAUA